AUUGAACGCUGGCGGCAGGCUUAACACAUGCAAGUCGAACGCCCCGCACGGGGAGUGGCAGACGGGUGUGUAACACGUGGGGAUCUGCACAAUGGUACGGAAUAAUUCCGGGAAAAUGGUACUAAUACCGUAUGUGCCCGCAAGGGGAAAGAGUUAUCGCCAGUGGAUGAACCCGCGUCGGAUUAGCUAGUUGGUGAGGUAAAGGCUCACCAAGGCGACGAUCCGUAGCUGGUCUGAGAGGAUGAUCAGCCACACUGGGACUGAGACACGGCCCAGACUCCUACGGGAGGCAGCAGUGGGGAAUAUUGGACAAUGGGCGCAAGCCUGAUCCAGCCAUGCCGCGUGAGUGAUGAAGGCCUUAGGGUUGUAAAGCUCUUUCGCCGGCGAAGUUAAUGACGGUAGUCGGAGAAAAAGCCCCGGCUAACUUCGUGCCAGCCGCCGCAGUAAUAC
rnacentral:rRNA from 1 species